GACGAACGCUGGCGGCGUGCCUAAUACAUGCAAGUCGAGCGGUGACGCUUUGUGCUUGCGCCAUUCUGAAGAGCAGCGCACGGGUGAGUAACGCGUGGAGCAUCUUCCUUUUAUCGGGGGACAACAUUGGAAAACGAAUGCUAAUACCACAUAACAACUUUAAACAUAAGUUUUAAGUGUGAAAGAUGCAUUUCCAUCACUCAAAGGUGAUCCCGCGUUGUGUUAGGUAGUUGGUGAGGUAAAGGCUCACCAAGGCGUUGAUACAUAGCCGGCCUGAGAGGGUGGUCGGCCACAUUGGGAAUGAGACCAGGCCCAAAGGCCCUAGGGAGGCAGCCGGAGGGAAACUUCGGAAAUGGGUGAAAGUCUGACCGAGCAACGCCGAGGGAGGGAAGAAGGGUUUCGGGUCGGAAAAGUCGGUUUGUAGGGAAGAAAGUGGGUGAGAGUGGAACGCUGCUCAAGUGACGGUAACUACCCAAAAAGAACCGGCUAACUACGUG
rnacentral:rRNA from 1 species